rnacentral:misc_RNA from 1 species
AAGUCGUAACAAGGUAUCCGUAGGUGAACCUGCGGAUGGAUCAUUAUCACGUUAUCCACGUAUCAACCAUUGUGAACUGUUGAAUGUAUAUAUAUUGUUUGUUUGUUGGGGGGUUUCCCCUAACUUUCAUGAAUAUAUAUAUAUUUUUAUUAUUAACUAUUUAAACAAUUUUUAAAUAAUUAAAUCUUUGAACUGAAACAUUUCUUACUCUUCGGAGAAGAAAUAAAAAAUUACGAAACAUAAGAACAACUCUUAGCAACGGAUAUCUUGGUUCUC